rnacentral:rRNA from 1 species
CAGCAGCCGCGGUAAUACAGAGGGUGCAAGCGUUAAUCGGAUUUACUGGGCGUAAAGGGCGCGUAGGUGGUUAUUUAAGUGAGAUGUGAAAGCCCCGGGCUUAACCUGGGAACUGCAUCUUAUACUGGGUAACUGGAGUGCAGUAGAGGGUAGUGGAAUUUCCGGUGUAGCGGUGAAAUGCGUAGAUAUCGGAAGGAACACCAGUGGCGAAGGCGGCUACCUACUGAGACUGACACUGAGGCGCGAGAGCGUGGGGAGCAAACAGGAUUAGAUACCCGCGUAGUCCCUGUCUCUUAUACAC